AUUUCAGUAGCUCAAAAAGAGUUUUACAUUGAAGCUGUAAGGGUAGUUUAACUCUGGAAUA
rnacentral:tRNA from 1 species